CCCAUCUAGAAGUGAACAAAAUGGAAUUAGUUAAAUUAUACCGACUCGUGCUAAUGCAACAUUUUCUUUGAACCUUUUUAGUAUCCAUUCAAAUAUACUGGGGUGAUCGGGGGGAGCGCUAAUUUUGAUGUGCAGAAUUAUUCUGCGAUUUCAUGAGUAAAAUUCGAGUCGUUUAACUGCAAAUUCUUUUUAGAUGUUCUUUUACUGUAGCUCUUAAGGGCCUCCAGUGGCAGAAAACAAAUACUGCAUUACAAAGUGACACAAAAUCUUACAAACUAUGAUAAUUAGCCAAAGAUACCAUUCGAAAAAAACUUGUCCUGGCUGAGUACGUGAGCUAAUAUAUAUAUUCCAACCUUAAUUAAGAUUAAAAAAUCUGAAUAUGCCCUGAUCUAGGAGGUGGUCAAUGGUA